UACGAAGGGUGCGAGCGUUAUUCGGAAUCACUAGGGCGUAAAGGGUGUGUAGGCGGUGUAUUAAGUCUGUUGUUAAAUUCCUCGGCCUAACUGGGGACUCGCGACGGAUACUGGUAUGCUGGAGGGUGGAAGAGAGGAGUGGAAUUCUCGGAGUAGCGGUAAAAUGCGUAGAUCUCGAGAGGAACACCGAUUGCGAAGGCAGCUCCUUAGUCCACACCUGACGCUGAAACACGAAAGCGUGGGGAGCAAACAGG
rnacentral:rRNA from 1 species